rnacentral:snRNA from 1 species
AUACAAUCUCGGUUCUUUGCUGAGAUCAAGUGUAGUACCUGUUCUUAUCAGCUUAAUCUCUGAUACACGGCUCAUGCAGCCGCAUUCUUAAGAUUAAACUUAUUUUUGAACCUUGAGGAAGCACCAUAGCUCGCUAUGGCCUCCUCAUAAGUAGCUUCGGUCUUACACAUUGCAACCGAGUGCUGCUGGUGCCUA